rnacentral:lncRNA from 1 species
CGGUCGGCCACUAUCGAUGCACGUCUCAACCGGGCGUCGGGCACGUUGACACGGUGGAGAUAUCGCGGGAGGAGUGUAGGAAGAAGAACUGGGCCGAGAUUAAAGUGAUCAAGGAACCGGACGAGGGAGGGACGGACAUAAAACACAUGCUUUCCAACAUCGAGGCCAACAUCAAUUACCUGCUGGAUUCGGAGAGGAAGAGGAGGUGGAGGGAGUCGCAGUUUAGGAACAUAGGCUACUCUCCUCGAUCAAGGACGGUAAGGGACUGCUGCAAGCCAAGAGUUAAGCAUUGAUGUGGAGAACAAAAGGAAAAACUCACGCUUGGGAUUUUCAGAAGAGGUGCGGUUGAGUUGAUCGUGAGAGAACACUUUUCGUUUUGUGACUUUGGGGAAGCGAGCUGUGGG